rnacentral:rRNA from 1 species
UACGUAGGUGGCAAGCGUUGUCCGGAUUUACUGGGCGUAAAGGAUGCGUAGGCGGAUAUUUAAGUCAGAUGUGAAAUACCCGGGCUCAACUUGGGUGCUGCAUUUGAAACUGGAUAUCUAGAGUGCGGGAGAGGUAAGUGGAAUUCCUAGUGUAGCGGUGAAAUGCGUAGAGAUUAGGAAGAACACCAGUGGCGAAGGCGACUUACUGGACCGUAACUGACGCUGAGGCAUGAAAGCGUGGGGGAGCAAACAGGG